GGGGCAUUGGCGCAGUUGGCUAGCGCGCAUCCAUGGCAUGGAUGAGGUCAAGGGUUCGAAUCCCUUAUGCUCCACCA
rnacentral:tRNA from 2 species